GCGUGCAGGGGGCGGCCGAAGGGAGGAGGGGGGCUUUCCAGCAUGGAGUGGCCACGGCAGCCAACAAGGCGCUAUAGAUCACCUCCGCCAACGGAGCCCCCGAGCUAUGGGGCAACCCCUGAGCGAGAGCCGGAAAGCCGGCGGCAUCUCGGGGAUCCCCCACGGGGCGCCAUCCUGGCUGGGAGGGGAGGGGGUCCCAAGCCGAGUGGGGCUCUGCAGCCGAGCGGGCGUCUCGCUCGAGGGAGGGCUGAGUCGCCUGCCUGUGCGCGCGCGCUUCCAACCCGGGCCGCGCCGGCCCCUCAAACUUUCGCCGCCGGCUCGCUCCCUUUUUAUUCUUUUGUGUGCGCGAGACUGCCCGCGGCAGCCGCUUGUCCGGGCUGGUUGGGGAGGGGAGGGCGCAGCCGGAGUGGCUGGUCGAAGGAAAGGGAGAGCCGGCGGGGAGUCUUUCGAAGUUCAACUCUGGAGGGUGCGCCGCGAAACGCUUCCCUGCCGCCGCCGCCGCCGCCGCCGCCACCCCGGCCGCCAUUCUCCCCCACCCUCAAUUGUUUCGCACGCCUCCACAUAAUUCACUCGACUUUGUGGAGCUGUUGAGCGUGUAAUCAACUCGCAGGGACGUUGAAACAGGAGGAGAGGAAAGCGCGAAAACAAAUGAGCGCGACUUUCUGGAGCUCCUUGGUCUUUUCGUAAGGUCUGUUUUCCUUCAUUUCCUUACAUUGAAAUAGCUUUGCUCUUGUUCGCUGAGCACAUUUCCUGACGACACUUCUCGCUCUCGCUCUCCCCCUUGUCAGCAAGCGGAGGCGGCGGCAGGCCGCAUGAAAGCACGCGUGUCGAGGCAAGAUAAAUAACGCCGGGGAACAAUCUCAAGGAGGAUGUAAAUUUCACCUGAUGAUCUCCUGGCUCCUCUGGUUUCUUUUCACAGUUACACCCCGUUAGUUACAGAAAAGGGGCUUCCCUCGCCAUGCAAAAGACAAGAUGCUGUUAUUUUGUUUGGACAACAGAACAAUUUUCAAGUUAUCUGCACAGGAUUUAUUGGAUGUACCUCUCUGGUAUUGCUGGACAGCUGUGUGUGUUGUUAAUCUACAGUAGUGUGCAAUAUAUAUUUAUUACACAUUUAAAAAGUGUUUGAUGAGACUUGGCCUGGAACUGUGUCUGUUCUUGCACAUAUUCAGUAUAUUAAAUUCUCAACAAAUCUGUGGCUGUUGAAACCUGGACACUGGAGCCAUGAAUAUGCAAGGCAGUUCUACAAUCCUAAGAAAACUCCCGUGUUCACACAAAAAAAAGAACUGUUAAAUAUAUGCAUAUAUAUGGGGGAUUAUCUGUCAGUGAAACCCUUUCCCGAGUUGCUUUGACCCUUAAGGGAAGAAUGAUCUGGGCCAGGUUUGGUAUCAACUACUGGCAGAUCCAGCUACUUACCGCUAUUCAACAGUGACUGCCAAACAAAAGCUAGUGUGACUGGUCAGAGUUUCAGAUUAUGAUCUGGGACACCCAGCUCCGUGAUCACAGACUGUAUUGAAACAGUUACGCUAAGAAUGGGCCAUCCUGUCUCUGAAGUCUCUGUGGCCAGAUAAUUUGGGCUUGGUCAGAAUAUUGUCUGAAAGCCAUAGUGAAGCCACUGGAGAACAUAUAACCGAUACAGGUAGGUGCCUGUGCAAAUGAAAAGACUUGGAAAGGGAGUUCACUGAUAUAGGGGCUGCUUCUGACCUUGGGCAGUCAGAGAAUGGGAGCAAGACUGGGUCACCAACCUUUCAACAAUAAACAGGGAUUAUUGUGUUUGUUUUUCUUUUGCUUGGAGAAAGAGAGAAAUUCCUUCUUAUCUGGUCCUUGUCUGCAAAAAAAGAAAGAAAGAAAGAGUGUUCCCUGGGUGAGGGAAAAUUUAGUUCACUGUGAAAGUUUUAUCUGAAUAAACAUUUUUUU